CGCACACUUGCGUCCCGUCUCACGUGUUUGAGAGAGCUCGCGGUCGCCGCGUUGAAGACGAUCUCUAAAGAUGAUUAUACGAUGGCACCGUCAGAAGCGUGUCGGCCCAGCACGUGCUCGCACGUGAGAGGAGACGAUUUUCUGACUGCCCUCAAUCCCUGAAGGAACUGAUGUAAAUAAAGACCUAGAAACGCUGAAGUUCUGGCCUCCCAGGGAAUGAUUAGUUUGACUGGUUAAGUAUGCGGGUAAGUGAUGUGAGAACCGUUAAGAUGCUUUAAUGCUGCAGCUAUUGAAUUCAGAGCCUUGUGUAAACAUUUGUAAGGAAAAAUUUAAAAAAUACUUACCUACUUAACGUCUAUGGAGGAACAGGACCAGAACAAAAACCUCAACUGGUGCUUUCAUCCGUGAGGGAUUAGAUGUUUUGGGCAUUUAGCCAGAGCAGCUCUGACUUGCGGAUGUUCUAAUCAUUAUAGUUACUUGUUUGAAUUUCCUUUUGUUUUUUGAUGUGCAAGACCUCUAGAUGGGGCACUUAUGUAGACUGCCGAAGUAUCUUAAUGAACAUUAAUUGAAUUAUCUUUUCCAUGUGUGCUUAUAUAAAUAAACAUGGUUGGCACAGGGUAUUAAGCGAGAAUGUUGUCUGAUUUCAUCUGUUUAGAUGCUGGAUUUGUAAGAAGUCCUAAAACCCUUUAAAAUAAACAA